ensembl:lncRNA
GAACAGUUGUGUGAUAAGAUAAAAAAUGAAUUUCUAAUUAUGCAUGAUCUUAUAAAAAAAAUAAAAAAGAAUGAUGCUAUAAAAAUGAAUAUUAAGUACUUUUUAGAUAUCUUAAAUAGUAAGAAAGUUUUAAAUAAUAAUAGUAUAUUUUAUUUAGUAACAAAAAUAUUUUCUGUAUUUAACGUAUUAAUGAAAGAUAAUCCCAAUUUAGUUCAUCGGUAUGAUUAUGUACUAACUCCACAGCUUUUCUUUUUAUGUAUUUUUUCAUUAUAUUCUUACAAUUUAAGCAAAUCUCGUUUUUACUAUUUUAUGUUGUUAAUUCAUGGUGGAGUAGAACUAUUAAAUUUAACAGAAAAUGUUACGAAAAUAUAUAAUGACAAUCUAAAUUAUGAUGUGUACAAAAAAAAUAUUAUUGAUACUAUUUUUAAAAAAGAAAAAGAGCAAUAUGAGUUUAUUACUCAGAAGAUGUUUAUAGAAAAUGAAACCAACGUUGUUAGUACUAUUACAAAUGAAAAAAACGUUAAAGAAAAUUUUCAUCAUAAUUUAAAGAAAGGUCAUCCAAACGAUGGAAAGGAGGGAAGCGUUUUAGUUAAUAACAAUAAAGAAGAGGUAUUAAUAAAUGAACAUAACAAGGUGUUACAAUUUAAAGAUUUAUAUAAAAAUUUGUUGAUAAAACUUUUACUAUUUUAUGUUUUUUUUUAUUUUAGUGACCAUUAUUUUUGUAUAAUCAUUUUAUUAAAUUUUUGUAACUUGAUAAAGGAUAAUAGAAAGGAUGAUAAACAGGAUUAUAAACAGGAUGAUAAAAUGGAUGAUAAAAUGGAUGAUAAAAUGGAUAAUAACAAAAUAACAGAAACAAUUAAUUAUUUAUUUUUUAUUUUGUUAGACAGUUUACAUCAUGUAAGAGAAUACACCAAAAUAAUAGUUCUUUUAAAUUUGUAUAAAGAAAACUUUCGUUCUUUUGCUGAUGAAGAUUUAGGUCAUGUAAAAAAAGUUGUUAAUUCAGUUUUAAAUGAUUAUAUUGAAAAAGAAAGUUUUUCUGCGGAAUCAUUAAAAUUAGUUUUACAAAUUAAUGAAUCUAUUAGUAAUAUGCAAAAUGAAAAAGCAAAAUGUAUGUAUAAUAAAAAUGAAACAAAAAGUGAUUUAUAUGACGACGGACAUGUUAAAAAAAAGUAUUUAAACGAAAGUGACAUUUUUAAAGAGGAAAAAAAAGGAGGGAGGGUUAAAGAACAUCAUAAUGAAACAAAAUUCGAAACCGAUGGUAUUAAGAAACAGCUGAAUUUUAAUGAAAAAAAAAGAAACAUAUUCAUAGGUACUUUAAAACGUAAACAUACGAGUCCAAUUGUGACUUCAAAUACGAAUUCAUGCUCAGAUCCAAGUUCGGAUCCAAGUUCGGAUCCAAGCUCGAAUUCAAGCUCGAGUUCAACAACAGGCGAAACCGAUUUAACCGACACGAAGGACAAUUUUAACAAUUAUUUGAUUUAUUUAUUAAAAAAAAAGGCAUAUGACAAAAUUGAACGGAUAGAAAAAAGAAAUUAUUUAAAUGAAAAUAAUACAACAUAUAGUUUAUUUAUUGAGUCAUACUUAAGUAAUCAUAAAUAUGACAAAGUGUACAAAGUUUAUAAAAAAAUGAAAUUAAGAAAAAAUAUAACUAUCAAAUAUUUAAAUGUGAAAAAUUUGAUACACAGUUUUAAAAAAUGUGACAUAAACAAAGGAG